rnacentral:rRNA from 1 species
UACGGAGGGGACAAGCGUUAUUCGGAAUCACUGGGCGUAAAGGACGCGUAGGCGGGUUAUUAAGUCGGGUGUGAAAUCCAAUGGCUCAACCAUUGAACUGCAUUCGAAACUGAUAACCUAGAGUAUGGAAGGGGCAGGUGGAAUUAGUGGUGUAGGGGUAAAAUCCGUAGAUAUCACUAGGAAUACCGAAAGCGAAGGCGACCUGCUGGGACAUUACUGACGCUGAGGCGUGAAAGCGUGGGGAGCAAACAGGAUUAGAUACCCGUCGUA